rnacentral:lncRNA from 1 species
UAUAAUUCUUAUAUCAAAGUAAUGAUUUUUUCAAUAUUUUAUUGUGGACAAUACAAAUGCCAUAAAACAUCCUAACCAUUUUCAAGUGCACCGUCAGUCUGUUAGUGGCGUUAAGUACAUUCCCACUAUUCUGAAGCCAUCAUCACCAUUUCUCUCAGAGAUUCAUCUUGUAAAACCGAAGCUCUAAACUUCAUCACACAACUCCCCACCCCCUCCACUCUCAGGCCCUGGCAAACACCAUUCUUCUUUCUGUCUCUAUGAAUCUGAGUACUCUAGGAAACUCAGGUAAGUGAAGUCUUACAGUGUUUAUACUUAUACAUUACGCUUAUUUCACUCAGCAUAACGUCCUCAAGGCUCAUCCAUAUUGUAGCCUCUGUCAGAAUUUCCUUCUUUUUUCAGAUUGAAUAAUAUUCCAUUGCAUGUAUUGACUGCAUUUUCCCUAUCUGUUCAUUGGUUGACAGACAUUCCACAUUUUAGCUAUUAUGAAUAUUGCUGCCAUCAACACCAGGUACAAAUUUCCCUUGAAGACCCCACUUCUUUCGGAAAUGCAGAAAUAGAACAAAAAACAGAAGUCUCUACCACCCUUCAUGGAGCUUCCACUCUAGUGUGAAGAGAGAGACAAGAAACAAACUAAGAAGAAAACACAUACCUAAUAUGUUAAGUGGUGAUAAGUGAAAUGGAUGAAAGCUGAAAUAAAGAAUGUAGGCAGAGGCCAGGCACGGUGGCUCACGCCUGUAAUCCCAGCACUUUGGGAGGCCGAGGCGGGCAGAUCACCUGAGUUCAGGAGUUUGAGAUCAGCCUGGCCAACAUGCUGAAACCCCAUCUCUAUUAAAAAUACAAAAAAUUAGCCAGGAGUGGUGGCAGGCGCCUGUAAUCUCAGCUUCUGAGGAGGCUGAGGUAGGAGAAUUGCUUGAACUUGGGAGGCAGAGGUUGCAGUGAGCCGAGAUCUCACCAUUGCACUCCAGCCUGGGCGACAGAGCGAGAAACUGUCUCAAGAAAAAACAAAACAAAAAUGUAGGUAGAUAGUGUGUUAGGGAAUUGAGAUCACUCAGGUGAUGACUGAAAACUUGAAACAGAUGAGAAAGCAUUGGCUAUGUGGAAAUGCGGGGCUGGGGGCAUGGUGGGGAGACCAUUCCAGGCAGAGGGAGAAGACACAGCUGACUCCACAGGAGAAAGACCAUGUGCUGGAUCAAAACAAACCCAGGAGAAAGCACAGAAGAGCUCAACAGAGAGGCCAGGGUACCAGACCAUGCAGGACACCUGGGCAGUAGUGAGCCUGCCUUUUAGGAAGCCAGAGUGGCCAUUCCUUGGCCUCCCAUUCAACAGAUUACUCUUGCUGCUGUAUUGGAGGGGGAAAAAUCAGGAUAAUUUUGCAAUUAUCCAGACAAGGAUCCUGGCACCUUGGGUUAAGGUGGUGAUGGUAAAGAUGGUGAGAAAUGAUGUGAUAUAUUUUUAAGACAAAAUCAAGAGGAUAUUUUAAUGGAUGAAUUUGUGAUGUGAGGAGAAGAAAUGGUAAGAAAGACUUCAAGAACUGGAGCUUGAGAAGAAAUCUACAUAAAGAAGAAUCAUAAAGAGAGACUGGAAGACUGAUGGAUGAACAAGUAUGGGUAAACAUGGGGAGAGAUCAGAAACUGAUUUGAAGACAUCAAGAUUGUCAUGCCUACUAGACAUCCAAAUGGCAUCAAAUAGAGCAUUAGAUGUAUGGGACUUGAGUUGAUGGGGAGAGGUCUUGUCUGGAAAUAAACAUUUGGGAGUCUCUAGUAUAGAGUUAUUGCUUAAAACUGUAAAAUUACAUGAGAUCUCUAAGGGAGUUUGAAUAGAAAAGGAAGAUGCCCAAGGAGAAAUUCCAAAAUUAAGGAUUGUUUUAGUGCAACUCUAGAGGCCAGAAACCUAUUCAGCAGGAGCUCAAUAGAGAAUGGGGCCGGGCACGGUGGAGCACACCUGUAAUCCCAGCACUUUAGGAGGCUGAGCCAGGUGGAUCACUUGAGGUCAGGAGUUCCAGACCAGCCUGGUCAACAUGGUGAAACCCUGUCUUUGCUAAAAAUACAAAAAAUUAGCCAGGCUUGGUGGUGCAUGCCUGUAAUCCCAGCUACUCAGCAGGUUGAGGCAGAAUAAUUGCUUGAACCCAGGAGGUGGAGGUUGCAAUAAGCCGAGAUUGGGCCACUGCACUCCAGCCUGGGCAACAGAGCGAGACUGUGUCUCAAAAAAAAAAGAGAGAAUGGGAAGGCAGGAAAUGGAGAAAGUAAACGCUGACAGCUUGGAGGGUUUCUUCUGUAAGAAAGGGAGGAAAAUGGGGCAGAAAAGUAAGAUAAAGAGGGGGUUUUAUUUUUCAGCCCUUGGAGAGAAACAGCAGCACGUUUGUAUAUCCAUGGGGAAGAUUGAUUACUCAGGGCAAGAGAAAGGCAUGCUGAGAGCACUGUCCCUGAGCAAGUGGGAGGAGGGGUACGCACAGGUCACAGGGGAGGCAACCUUGCUGACAGUGGCUGGAGAGGGUGGAGAGGAGCACAGGUGAUCAGCCUGCAGUUUCUUCAGAUGCGGAACAGAAGGUGACAUCAUCGACCAAGGGUAGGGAUGUGGAAAAGCGUAGGAAGUUUCUGGGAAGAGGAGUGGGA